rnacentral:rRNA from 1 species
UACGUAGGGUGCAAGCGUUGUCCGGAAUUAUGGUGCGUAAAGAGCUCGUAGGCGGUUUGUCGCGUUGUCCGUGAAAACUCACAGCUUAACUGUGGGCGUGCGGGCGAUACGGGCAGACUGGAGUACUGCAGGGGAGACUGGAAUUCCUGGUGUAGCGGUGGAAUGCGCAGAUAUCAGGAGGAACACCGGUGGCGAAGGCGGGUCUCUGGGCAGUAACUGACGCUGAGGAGCGAAAGCGUGGGGAGCGAACAGG